rnacentral:rRNA from 1 species
GGCUCAGAACGAACGCUGGCGGCAUGGAUUAGGCAUGCAAGUCGAACGGUGCAGCAAUGCAUAGUGGCGCAAGGGUGAGGAACGCGUGAGUAACCUGCCCUCAAGUUGGGAACAGCUUCUGGAAACGGAAUUAAUACCGAAUGUGACCAUAGGAAGGCAUCUUCUGUUGGUUAAAGGCCGCAAGGUCGCUUGAGGAGGGGCUCGCGUCCCAUUAUGCUAGUUGGUGAGGUAACGGCCCACCAAGGCGAAGAUGGGUAGCUGGUCUGAGAGGACGAUCAGCCACACUGGGACUGAGAACUGCCCAGACUCCUACGGGAGGCUGCAGUCGAGAAUUUUGGGCAAUGGACGAAAGUCUGACCCAGCCAAUGCCGCGUGCGGGAUGAAGGUCUUCGGAUUGUAAACCGCUGUCAAGUGGGACGAAACAAAUGACGGUACCGCUGAAGGAAGUCACGGCUAACUACGUGCCAGCCGCUGC